CGAAGGGUGCUAGCGUUGUUCGGAAUCACUGGGCGUAAAGCGCGCGUAGGCGGCUUUUCAAGUCAGGGGUGAAAUCCCACAGCUUAACUGUGGAAUUGCCUUUGAAACUGUAAAGCUAGAGUGUCGGAGCGGAUAGCGGAAUUGCUAAUGUAGAGGUGAAAUUCGUAGAUAUUAGCAGGAACACCGGUGGCGAAGGCGGCUAUCUGGACGACAACUGACGCUGAGGCGCGAAAGCACGGGGAUCAAACAGGAUUAGAUACCCUGGUAGUCCGUGCUGUAAACGAUGGAUGCUAGCUGUUAGGGGGUUACCCCUUAGUAGCGUAGCUAACGCGUUAAGCAUCCCGCCUGGGGAGUACGGUCGCAAGAUUA
rnacentral:rRNA from 1 species